AGCAAUGCGCAGCUACACAUGCAAGUCGGGCGGUAACAGGGGGAAGCUUGCUUCUCUGCUGACGAGCGGCGGACGGGUGAGUAAUGUAUGGGGAUCUGCCUGAUGGCGGGGGAUAACUACUGGAAACGGUAGCUAAUACCGCAUAAUGUCUUCGGACCAAAGCGGGGGACCUCCGGGCCUCGCGCCAUCAGAUGAACCCAUAUGGGAUUAGCUAGUAGGUGAGGUAACGGCUUACCUAGGCGACGAUCCCUAGCUGGUCUGAGAGGAUGAUCAGCCACACUGGGACUGAGACACGGCCCAGACUCCUACGGGAGGCAGCAGUGGGGAAUAUUGCACAAUGGGCGCAAGCCUGAUGCAGCCAUGCCGCGUGUAUGAAGAAGGCCUUCGGGUUGUAAAGUACUUUCAGUCGGGAGGAAGGUGUCAAGGUUAAUAACCUUGGCAAUUGACGUUACCGACAGAAGAAGCACCGGCUAACUCUGUGCAGGCAGCCGCA
rnacentral:rRNA from 1 species